UCUAACUUCCUUAAUGGUCCAAUCGGGGCUGAGGGGCCUCGUUGGAACCUAUCACGCACAAAAACAUCACAGCCAAUUCAAUUUAUAUUAAUAUCACUCCAAAAGCUGUUUCCCAAAUCAAGCUUCAAUAACCUUUCCUAUCUGCCUUUCAAUUACCAUUUGAUUGGCUAUUCAGUUUCUCUUUUUUAGUAACACUAGAAAUAGAUAAACAACUUUAGCAAUAACACAACUCAUAACUUCAAUUGCUAGCCAUUAUCAACAACUUAAAACCAAUCCUAAUUCAUCACUCACAUUGGUGGAUUGUAAUGAAAUUCCUCCCCAAGAGUCCUCAAGCUAUCAUAAAAUCUCUCUCUAUCUUUCUCUCUACACAGUUCAGCUGGUGAGAGAAACUAUUGAAGAAAGACUUUUAAGGGUUUGUUUAAGGUGAAUGAGUAAAAGAGUAUGAAAAACCUUACAACAGGAUGUGUAAAGCAAAACGAUUGAGGUUAGUUUGAGAGAGUGAUGGAAGCUUGAGAGAAGCUUUCAUGGAAGAGGAGAGAAACGUGAGAUGGGAG
rnacentral:lncRNA from 1 species